GACCACUGAUACAGUGAACAGGUAAACACUGACCACUGACACAGGAGGAACAGGUAAACACUGACCGCUGACACAGGGAACGGGUAAACACUGACCACUGACACAGGGAACAGGUAAACACUGACCACUGACACAGGGAACAGGUAAACACUGACCACUGACAUAGGGAACAGGUAAACACUGACCGCUGGCACAGGGAACAGGUAAACACUGACCACUGACACAGGGAACAGGUAAACACUGACCACUGACACAGGGAACAGGUAAACACUGACCACAGGGAACAGGUAAACACUGACCACUGACACGGGGAACAGGUAAACACUGACCACUGACACAGGGAACAGGUAAACACUGACCACUGACACAGGGAACAGGUAAACACUGACCACAGGGAACAGGUAAACACUGACCACAGGGAACAGGUAAACACUGACCACUGACACGGGGAACAGGUAAACACUGACCGCUGACACAGGGAACAGGUAAACACGGACCGAUGACACAGGGAACAGGUGCUUUCUUUGCUGGCUUGGCCUUCCCAUUCAGUCUAUCUGUCGGACAACCUGACCACGCUCCUCUCUUCUCCGCACCUCUCUCUCCUC